GGGAAAUCCCGAGGACAUCCGGACCAUGACGACACUCGCCGCCUGGAUGGAGCUUCAGGAAUAUUUUUGGAUUUUAGUUGAACAUGGAGGCAAACAGGUGAUUUCUGUUCCUUACUUGCUGUAACAAACUGCUGCAGUGAGGAAGCUCAGCUGUGCAGGAUGGACACCAAGUGAAUUUCAACACGGGUCAGUAGACAUGUAAUAGAAGACGGAUGGACACAGCCAGGGCUGGAUUUGUCCUACGUCCUAAACAAUCAAGAACCGGUUUGGCCCCUCGACACUGGAGGAAACGGCAACCACAGAAGAAGACGUGCGCACAACUUCCUCCGUCACAAAAUGGAAACGAAAAUGGAUUCGCAUCAGUUUUUAGCGGUUGUAGGAUUUCUCCUAUGUCUUUGAUUAAAAACACCACAAGCCUUUUCUCCUUCUACCCUCUAGUACUUACCCAGAAUGCCCUGUGCCAUCGUCC